rnacentral:rRNA from 1 species
AUUGAACGCUGGCGGCGUGCUUAACACAUGCAAGUCGUGCGGUAACAGGCGUAGCAAUACGUGCUGACGAGCGGCGAACGGGUGCGUAAUACAUGGGAAUCUGCCUUUUAGUGGGGAAUAACCCGGCGAAAGCCGGGCUAAUGCCGCAUAAGAUCUUCGGAUGAAAGCGGGGGAUCGUAAGACCUCGCGCUGAUAGAUGAGCCCAUGCCGGAUUAGCUAGNGGUGAGGUAACGGCUCACCAAGGCGACGAUCCGUAGCUGGUCUGAGAGGACGGCCAGCCACACUGGGACUGAGACACGGCCCAGACUCCUACGGGAGGCAGCAGUGGGGAAUAUUGGACAAUGGGGGAAACCCUGAUCCAGCGACGCCGCGUGUGUGAAGAAGGCCUGCGGGUUGUAAAGCACUUUCGGU